UACGUAGGUGGCAAGCGUUGUCCGGAUUUACUGGGCGUAAAGCGUGCGCAGGUGGUUGUGCAAGACAGAUGUGAAAUCCCCGGGCUUAACCUGGGAAUUGCAUUUGUGACUGCACGGCUAGAGUGCGGUAGAGGGGGAUGGAAUUCCGCGUGUAGCAGUGAAAUGCGCAGAUAUCGGGAGGAACACCAAUGGCGAAGGCAGCUCGCUGGGACGUUACUGACGCUGAGACGCGAAAGCGUGGGGAGCAAACAGG
rnacentral:rRNA from 1 species